AUUAAUAUUUUAAUUUUUAUGAAUUAAAUUAACCUGUAAUAGCUAUGAGGCUUCCAGGGUUUGCUGUUCAUCUUCUCUUUUUCCUAGUUGCUGUUUGGCUUCCUUCGAACGUGUCAAGAUUGCGUUAGUCGCUGCUUCGGCUCCUUUGUUGUUGUUCGACUUCGCUCCAUCGACGUUAUAACAUUUUGAUCGGAAGCAAAGAAGGGAGCUCCGCGGUGAAGCUAACUUUCUCCCUUACGAGCGCUUCGUAGGCCAAAUUCUGUAAAUCCGCCGAAUUACAGGAUUGAGUAAAUCCGGGUUUUACGGCAAAAAGAGAUGGAAAUUAUAUCUUUUGCCUAAUCUUCACCAUGAAAUAUUUUUUAAAUGGACCAGUCAUACGGCAUUUCUCAAGAUUAGCGGCAUUCACAAUACUUAGUAGUGUGCUGAGAUUAUCUCUUUUAUGAGUGAAAAGUUUUGAGGGCAAUGAUGAUGAUGAUUUGGACUUCUACCAUUGAUUACUCAUGACAAUUAUGAAAUAUCGCUAUGUUUCUCAGGAUAUGGCAUGUUUGAAUGGUCUGGAGCAUCUCAGGCAGCUACAUCUUCCAUUUGCAUGGAAAUUAAAGUGUAGUAAAGCUCCUCUACUUAUCUUAUGUCAUGGUAGGAUGCAUUAUUCUCUUUGAAGUUCCAAUGAAAUUACCGUUCUGAGUAGUUUCAGAUGCAUAUUUAUAUUGGUGGAUCAAUGGAUGAGAUAUGCGAGCCUUCAUAUUUUGGAUGCCUAGUCUUCUACUUCUGUAUCAUUUUAUCUAUCUUCAAUUAUGGGAGGAUCCAAUGGCUUUUAAACUCUCUCUCUUUCUCUCUCUCUCUCUAUAUAUAUAUAUAUAUAGAUAUGAUUCGACAUUGAGAAUUAGUUUGAUUAGAUAUGAAUUUGAUGCAUAUUUGAAUCAGAUGCAUUCAAAAUUAAUUUCAGGACCAUUCGAACUUUUAUUUUGGCAAACUUAUAUCCAUUAUGAAUGUCUUGACUAGGAAUUUUUAUUAGGUCCGGACACCUGACGUAGCUAUACAUCCGGGUGCCAAUAAAAUGUCUCCACGUGCUCUUACUCUUUACUGCGCGGCCCGACAACCUGACCCGGACCGGAACCCGGUAUUGCUAUGUAUUAGCUGAUUUGUGCAGACCAGGGUAUUGCUCGGUUUUGCUCGUUAUUGCUCGGUAACGAGAAAUACCAAUCUGUCAAUACCAAUACCUAGCAAUACCGAGCAACACCAAGCAUUACCGAGCAAUAAUGAGCAAUAACGAGCCUUGAGAUUUUUUCCAUUAAGGCGGGGCACGACACUAUUAAUUUUCUCGAAACAUUUUGGGCAAUGUGAAGGAAUAUGUGAACGGUGAGGCAUAUUUUUUCAAUUAAUGGCUGAUAAUUAUAUUCAAAACAAACAAAAAAUUCUUGUUAUUUGUACUUUUAUUUCCUCGUUUGAAUAUUUCUUUUGGAAGAAUUUUACUGGCCAUUUCCACCACCGAGUGACUGAUCUUCUACAACCCAGGAUUCUUAUACUCAUUUUGCAAUGGUGAACACCAAUGAUGGCCUGAAAAUUCUCUGGUAACCGAUUUUAUGAUUUUCCUUAUUUAUGCUUUGAAGUGAGUGGACUUCUAGAAAGCUGCAUUUUUGUCUGUGUUGGAAUGAAGGUCACAUUGUCUCUCACUCUUUCUCUCUUAAAGCACUGUGCAGUAACCAUGGUAGUUUGAGAUGAGGCUACUGGUAACCAAAGUGACGCUACCUAUUAUUAAUUUCGUUAGAAAUUCAACCCUGAUGGGGGAUAUUUUUUUCCAUUUACAGAUGGAGGGGCUACUAGUAGCCUCAUCUCCUCAAUGAAAUGCAAUUAAAAAGGCCUAAUCAUAUGGUAAUUUUCAAGAUUAGUGGCAAUACUCAUAACAUGUCUUGUGUUUAUCUGUUUUAUGAGUGAAAAGUUUUGAGGGCAAUGAUGAUGAUGAUGAGUUAGUUCUUCCUCUACUAUGAAGCUCCACCUGCAACCUACUUUAGUGCUAUUAAAUACUUCCCACAGUAAUUCUUCUUUUUACCAUUGUUGCUGCUACUUCAAGAAUCUGCUUAUUUUUAUUUCGCUUACCUGCAUGUUCUAACUUUGCGUCAGAUUCUUUUAAGCAGGAGGACCUGGAGGCAUUUGUUUGCAAGACGCUUGCA